rnacentral:rRNA from 1 species
GUAGAUAUCAGGAAGAAUACCAAUGGCGAAAGCAGCUCUCUAGCCUAAUUCUGACGCUGAGGUACGAAAGCUAGGGUAUCAAACGGGAUUAGAUACCCCGGUAGUCCUAGCUGUAAACGCUGGAUACUAGGUGUUGGGGGUUCAACUCCCUCGGUGCUGCAGUUAACGCGUUAAGUAUCCCGCCUGGGGAUUACGACCGCAAGGUUGAAACUCAAAGGAAUUGACGGGGGCCCGCACAAGCGGCGGAGCAUGUGGUUUAAUUCGAAGCAACGCGCAGAACAUUACCAGGGUUUGACAUCCUAUGACCAUCUGUGAAAGCAGAGUUUGACUCUUUGAGUCACAUAGUGACAGGUGGUGCAUGGCUGUCGUCAGCUCGUGUCGUGAGAUGUUGGGUUAAGUCCCGCAACGAGCGUAACCCCUGUCCUUAGUUGCCAGCACAUAAUGGUGGGGACUCUAAGGAGACUGCCAUAGAAAAAAUAUGGAGGAAGGUGGGGAUGACGUCAAGUCAUCAUGCCCCUUAUACUCUGGGCUACACACGUGCUACAAUGGUCUAAACAGAGGGUGGCGAGAUCGCGAGAUCAAGCUAAUCCCACAAAUUAGAUCUCAGUUCGGAUUGCAGAUUGCAAUUCACCUGCAUGAAGCUGGAGUCGCUAGUAAUCGUGGAUCAGAAUGCCACGGUGAAUAAGUUCUCGGGCCUUGUACACACCGCCCGUCACACCACCCGAGUUGGGGACACCAGAAGUCAUUUGCUUUUGCAAGUGCCGAAGGUGUGCCCGAUAAGGGGGGUGAAGUCGUAACAAGGUAGCCGUAGA